UACGGAGGGUGCAAGCGUUAUCCGGAUUCACUGGGUUUAAAGGGUGCGUAGGUGGGCAGGUAAGUCAGUGGUGAAAUCUCCGGGCUUAACUCGGAAACUGCAUUCGAUACUGCCGUGCUUGAGGACUGGAGAGGAGACUGGAAUUUACGGUGUAGCGGUGAAAUGCGUAGAUAUCGUAAGGAAGACCAGUGGCGAAGGCGGGUCUCUGGACAGUUCCUGACGCUGAGGCACGAAGGCCAGGGGAGCAAACGGG
rnacentral:rRNA from 1 species